AUCUUGUAAUGUAUAUCUUACAUCUGCACAAACUACAAUAGGAACCAUGUCUGGUUAAUCUGGUGGGUAUUAUGUUUAUUUUUUUUCCUGAUGUUUUGCUAAUGUGGCAGCGCUUCAUACUCGUAUGUCUUCUGUAGAAGACUGUUUUUUUAUUGGUAGCUGUAUUAUCUAUGUUGUAAUAUACAGUGCAAUCUGAAUCAAGGAAAUGGAAGCUGGAUCCUGGAUAUC
rnacentral:sRNA from 1 species